AUAAAAAAUAAACCUUGGUUUCCAUAUCCAAAGUUUUACCGUCCAUCUUAUUUAAAAAAAUUAUAAAAAAAAUUAAAAAGACAAGUCACGUAUAAAAUAUUAAUCAUGUUUUAUCAUCUAUUAAUAAUGAAAAUAUAAAUUAUAAACAAAAUUCAUAUAAGACGGAUAGUCAAAGUUGGACACGAAAACCUAUAAUUUGCCUUUUU
rfam:Oryza sativa (indica cultivar-group) chromosome 2, whole genome shotgun sequence.